GAUGAACGCUGGCGGCGUGCCUAAUACAUGCAAGUCGAGCGAACAGAUAAGGAGCUUGCUCCUUUGACGUUAGCGGCGGACGGGUGAGUAACACGUGGGUAACCUACCUAUAAGACUGGAAUAACUCCGGGAAACCGGGGCUAAUGCCGGAUAACAUUUAGAACCGCAUGGUUCUAAAGUGAAAGAUGGUUUUGCUAUCACUUAUAGAUGGACCCGCGCCGUAUUAGCUAGUUGGUAAGGUAACGGCUUUCCAAGGCAACGAUACGUAGCCGACCUGAGAGGGUGAUCGGCCACACUAGAACUGAGACACGGUCCAGACUCCUACGGGAGGCAGCAGUAGGGAAUCUUCCGCAGUGGGCGAAAGCCUGACGGAGCAACGCCGCGUGAGUGAUGAAGGUCUUCGGAUCGUAAAACUCUGUUAUUAGGGAAGAACAAAUGUGUAAGUAACUGUGCACGUCUUGACGGUACCUAAUCAGAAAGCCACGGCUAACUACGUG
rnacentral:rRNA from 1 species